rnacentral:rRNA from 1 species
CAGGCCUAACACAUGCAAGUCGAGCGAGAAAGCACUUCGGUGUGAGUAGAGCGGCGGACGGGUGAGUAAUGCGUAGGAAUUUGCCCAGUAGUGGGGGACAACAUGUGGAAACGCAUGCUAAUACCGCAUACGCCCUACGGGGGAAAGCAGGGGAUCUUCGGACCUUGCGCUAUUGGAUGAGCCUGCGUCGGAUUAGCUAGUUGGUGGGGUAAAGGCCUACCAAGGCGACGAUCCGUAGCUGGUCUGAGAGGAUGAUCAGCCACACUGGAACUGAGACACGGUCCAGACUCCUACGGGAGGCAGCAGUGGGGAAUAUUGGACAAUGGGCGAAAGCCUGAUCCAGCCAUGCCGCGUGUGUGAAGAAGGCCUUAGGGUUGUAAAGCACUUUCAGUAGGGAGGAAAAGCUGUCGGUUAAUAACCGCCAGCCCUGACGUUACCUACAGAAGAAGCACCGGCAAACUCCGUGCCAGCAGCCGCGGUAAUACGGAGGGUGCGAGCGUUAAUCGGAAUUACUGGGCGUAAAGCGCGCGUAGGCGGCCUGAUAAGUUGGAUGUGAAAGCCCCGGGCUCAACCUGGGAACUGCGUUCAAAACUGUCAGGCUAGAGUAUGGUAGAGGAUAGUGGAAUUUCCGGUGUAGCGGUGAAAUGCGUAGAGAUCGGAAGGAACAUCAGUGGCGAAGGCGGCUAUCUGGACCAAUACUGACGCUGAGGUGCGAAAGCGUGGGGAGCAAACAAGAUUAGAUACCCUGGUAGUCCACGCCGUUAAAUGAUGUCAACUAGCCGUUGGGGGGGCUUUGUCCCUUUAGUGGCGCAGCUAAACGCGAUAAAGUUGACCGCCUGGGGGAGUACGGCCGCAAGGUUAAAAACUCA